CGUGGGCGUGGCCAGCGCUCCGCCCCUCCGCGGGCUGCCCGGCGCUGCGGCGGGCGCGGUGCGGGGCCGCGGGCGCGGUGCGGGGCCGCGGGUGCGCUCCUUGCGCGGGGGCCGCCAUGGCGUGGCCCUGCAUCACCCGCGCCUGCUGCAUCGCUCGCUUCUGGAACCAGCUGGACAAAGCCGACAUCGCCGUCCCCCUCGUUUUCACCAAAUACUCCGAGGCCACCGAGCAACCCGCCGCCUCCGCGCUUCCUCCGCGCCCCGCCGCUCCCAUCGAGACCCAGCCCGGCGGCGAGGCGGGCGGAGGAGGAGGAGGAGGAGGAGGAGGAGGAGGAGGAGGAGGAAGCGGGGGCGGCGGGGAACCGGCUCCCGGUGCUGCUCGGCCCGGCCCGGCCCCGCAUCCCUCUCCCCCGGCUGACUCGGUGAUGCGACACGAUUACAAACCCUGGAAGGUGCAACGACCGGAGCCGAGUUGCAAACCCAAAAGCGAGUACCAGCCCUCGGAUACCCCUUUCGAAAAGGAGACGCAGUACCAGAAGGAUUUCCGUGCCUGGCCCAUCCCCAAACGGGGGGACCAUCCCUGGAUCCCCAAACCGGGACCUUCCCCCGUCCUCGCCCUGGACCGCGGUUCGCCGGAGAAAACAGCUCAGGAAAAACGACGGAAGGUUCUCCCCGCUCCCGAAAAGAAAGAGGAAGACCCCGAGGGGGAGGAUGAGCAGCUCAAAGGGGUGCGAGCCGGGGAUGGGAGAGAGAAGGGGAGGAAGAAGGCGGAGGAGGCGGGGGGGCAGCCCCCGGCCGCGGGCAGGGGCAGGGCGGCCGCCGAUGCUCUCAACAGGCAGAUCAAGGAGGAGGUGGCGGCGGGGGUCAGCUCGUCUUACAGAAACGAGUUCAGGCCCUGGGUAGACAUCAAGCCCGUGAAGGCUAUAAAAGCAAAGGCCCAGUACAAGCCGCCAGAGGAGAAAAUGACCCAUGAAACCAGUUACAGCGCUCAAUUCAAGGGGGAAACCAGUAAGCCUGCUCCAGCCGAUAACAAAUUCCUGGAGCGCAGAAGGAUACGCACUCUCUACAGCGAACCCUACAAAGAACCACCAAAGGUGGAAAAGCCUAGCGUAAAGCCUUCCAAACCAAAAAAGACCACAACAAGCCAUAAACCCCUGAAAAAGGCCAAAGACAAGCAGAUUGCAUCUGGCCGGGCUGCCAAGAAAAAGAGCGCCGAGACCUCCAACACAGCAAAGCCAGAGGACAAGGAGAAAAGUAAAGAGAUGAACAAUAAACUGGCUGAGGCAAAAGAGUAAAUGUCACUGCACUUUCCUUUCUUUCUUGUCUUUUUUUUUUCCUUUUCUUUAUUUCUUUCUUUCUUCCUUCCUUCCUUCCUUCCUUCCUUCCUUUCUUUCUUUCUUCCCUUUUUUUUUUUUCCUUUGAUUAAAUAAAGGCCACAAAAUUAAUUAGAGGCUUCUAAUCUGCUUUUUGUUCUGAUUGUAUUAGAAGCUUUUCUGUUUUAUUUCCAAGGAGGAUUAGGGAAUCCUUGUUUCUGAGGUCAGGUUGUUCUGCUUUGCCUGCACAACACGGCUCUGCACAGAGUGAGGGAUGUGGGAAUGCACAAGCGGGGUCAUAGGAGAUGAAGGUGAUGGAUCAACCAUGAUUGACUCCAACAGCCUGACCCUUUCCUCAGGCUUGGUCCUUCAACACUUUGAUGGUGUGGAAUGCCUGUUGAGCCAUGGAGGGGCUGUACUCUCAUCCCAUGAGGCCCUUCUGGGGUUGGCCAUUGUUUGGUUGUCUCCCACUGGUGUCAGCAGGUGAAAGGUUUUGGAGGCAGAGAGGAUCAGAGGUUCAUUCACGGUGCCAUGGAUCUGCUGUAAAUCCACUAGAAUCAGUGGUGUGGCCAAGAGUGAUUUCCCCUGGUGACACUGGUGGGACUUUUGCUCCAAGAAGCAACAGAGAAGGAGACCCCGUACAAAUAAAGGGCCAAAUAUUUCCCCAGGGUAGCUGGUGGAUAGUUCUAGCUGCAUCAGGGCAGCUUCACCCAUCAACACCACUCAAAAGACUUGAUUUAAAAGAAAAAAAAAAGGAGUGAGGGAGGGCACAGAGAGCAGUGAAGACUUCCCAAGCAUGUGGCAGGUCAGACUAGGUUAUCAGCAGGCUGUUCUUCCCUAUUGUUUUCCCUAGGUUAUGGAUCUUUUUAGUUAUUCCUGGUUUGUUUUGAAUCUUGGUCUGCUUUCUUCACUUCUGGGGUGCCAGUAGACAGAGCUAGAUUUCAGAAAGAGGUUUAGUUUGCAGAUGUGGCCUUCCAAGGAGUAAAAAGAAAUGUCACCAAGGUUGUCUAGAGCUGUCAGUCCCCACUGUUCUGACUCUACCAGCUGUUGGAGUUCAUGUUGGCUCAUAAGCAUCCUCAGAGGGCCAUAAACCAGUUGCUGGGAUCCGCAGACUCCCUCCAGGCAAAAUCUCAGAGUUUCAAUCUUAUUUACUGUGCUCUUACUCUAGGAAAUCCCCAUGCCCAGCAAGACCAGUUUGGAAGCUGUAAAUUCAGCGGGACCAUUUGUCAGCAAGUAUGAACUAGCCCAACAGAUUGGGGAUGCAUACCCCAAAAUUUGGGUCGCUGAGUCAAUGAGAUCUGGGAGAGGUACAAUCCAAAUCCAAAUUUACAUGCCUAACUCCUGGAUUUGGUCCUAAAUAUGUAAGGAUUAAUCUUGAUCCCACCAAACCGAGCUGUUAAACGCUCCUGUAGCGGAGUAGCUGCAAGUCAAGAUGCAGGGUUCUUUAAUUUUGCAGCUCAAUAUUUCUAUCCUAACGUGCAGUCCAGCUUGAAACUUUCAGAGAACAGACAAUUGGGAAGAACGAAGAGAUGGGAAGUAGGGUAGGGAGGUGGUAUAAGAGGAGAGUAUCAGAACUGUUGAUGUAAAGGUGUUCGAAUGAGGAGAGUCUUGCUGCUAGGAUAUUUUAGAGAUGUGAAACUAUCUAACAGAAAAAGGGAUGGGCUGGGAGGGCGAGAAGUCCUGGUUUUGGGAUCUCACCCCAUUAGAAUUGGGUCUUUUGGAAACAUAAAUGAGUGGUGGGCUACAAGGCUGAGAGAAAGUUUCCAAAGAGGAAGAAAGCUCUGUGGUAUACAGACAGUGACAUUUGCUGGCCUUAGUAAUGAAUAAAUGCCAAGUUCAGUGUAUUGUGUGAUGUGUCCUGUUUGCCUUGCGCUAACAGCCUAAACCUUUGAGUAUCAGUAAGUGUAGUGUUCUGAAUUCAGUGGUGUAUUUCCAAGCUUAGCUGUGUUAGAACUGUGUGCUAUGAGCUAGUCAGGUUGUGUAUGUGGAAAAUAUAUAUUCAUAUAUAGAAAUAUAUAUAUUUAAACCUCCGCUGUUUAGGAGGAAACCAGGGAAAUCCUCCAGGAAGUAAAACUGUGGAAAUCUUUGCGAAUGUAGUGCAUUUUUUGAUGUGCAUGCUCCAUGGAGACGCUGACCUGUCCAUAUUGACCAUUGCUUUCCUGAGUGCUCAGAAGCCUUUGCAGCACUGCUCAAGUGCAAAGCUCAGCUCUGUCUCCAGAGCAGCUUGGCGAAAAGCUUGUGUUCAGCUGGUUGGAGAGGAGUGCUGCUCGCAGCUCUUCCCACCCCGUCGCACAAGGGACAACUGGCCAGAGAAACCCGAGUUUCCAAGACUUGGUGUGAUUCCUUGGCAUUUAGAUGCUUCAUGCAUCUUCACACUCCUCAGUAACGUCCUUUCCUAUCGCAGGAUGUAGCAACAGCCGUGAAGAUGAUGUGUGACAGCAGGCAGAACAUGUCAGGAAGGCACGUAGAUAGUUACCAAUAGCCCAACACACCGAUCUCACUGUACAUAGGGAAAGACCAUGCCAAACAAUUCUCCCUAUUAUUUUUUGGCCCUAAGUUUCACAUUGAAAGAGACACCACACUUGCCACCAUUUCACCUUGAAUUCAAUGGGAAUUUAGCCUUUGACAAAGGGUGCCAAAAUUUUGCCCAAGGAACAUCACUAAGAUGCUCAGACCAUGGUCUAAGUAUCUCCAUGAUUCUGGAUCAACUGAUCACCAUCCAGGGCUUCAGGAUUGCUUCUUCUCAGUGAAGAGCAUCCAUCUUUUGGAUGAAACAUGCACAGUGUUUGGAUGAAACAUGUUUGGAUGAAACAUGCGCAGUGAGUGGCCAGAAAAUGGCCUUAUGUUCCCUUAAUACAUGAAGAUUUUGGUGGCAUCUAACUACAAAGCUAGGUAUGAGGGGCUAGCCAGUGGUCUAAACUCCCUUUCUAGUGAAGGAACUUUCCAAGGGCCAUUGAGCUACCUAUUUUGGACACCUGUCUUUGGGUGGGAUGAAUGAUCCUUGGAAGGUUUCAAUCUUUGCAGAAAGAGCUUGGGAGACUGGUAUGACCUGGGGACCUCCCUCUCAGACAGCGACAAAAUAGGCAUAUAAAUCCUGGCCUUUGCUCCAUGUGCAUCAGGUCCUCAGCAUACAUCCAAGCAUGCAAUUUAGCAUUGCAUUGAAUGCCAGGAACUGCAGCAGAGUCAUGGCUCAGGGUGAAAUCCUGCAUUGCUCUACCUACCACAGACUUUAUGCCCAUCCAACCCACUCAGGUUUAUCAGAAAGGAGACCAAACCUCUGCCGUUUCAAGUUCACUUUGGACUCUGAUCUUGUCAAUCCCACUGGGAAAGAGUGCUCUGCUUUUCUGUGUUUCGAGCUACCACAAUGCUGAUUCUGUUUCACUGCCAAUUUGUAGUAUGUUUUGCUUUCCUUGUUAAAAAAAAAAAAAAAAAAAAAAAAAAGAAAUGUUUUGCUUUUUACCCUGUGAAAUUUCCUAUGCUGUCUAUUGCUUGCUUUCUCAUUUUCACUGUAUUGUACUGUUACUCCUUUCUGCAAAAUGGUGCUAAUUGCUGACUGAGCUCCUGUUUUCUGACUGCUUUGCACACCGAUCACCUGCUUCUUCAUUUGCAAUGCGUCCGGUGUAAAAACAUGGCUCCCAUGAAUUCCACAAACUCUUGCCUCUUGGAGGCAGAUAGGAAGUGUCUAAUUACUAUUUUGUGGCCUGGGUUUGGUUGCAUAUCACAAAUUGUCUCUUGUAAUGUGUGAAGCACACCUUCUCUUGGUGCUUUUUCAUUCUUGCUGUUCUACUGAGAAUGACACACACACACACACACACAAACACACACACAUAUUAAUGUAUAGCCAAUUGAUUGUGACGUGCUUGUGAUCUUUGCUUGCUCAAAGGGUUUUUUUUCCAAUGAUAAAUAAAUGCUAAAGACGAAUAUCACCUCCUUGAUCUUGUUUUCUCGAUAAGAAGCACAAUUGAGUGAAAGAAACACCCUUCCAACCGUAAUCAGAUUUGUGUUGCUUAGAGCCACCACUUCCAUGCCUGCCGCAGGGACAACUUAAGCUGUCACAGUCUGAGUCCCUUUAGAUGGCCGCUAACCUCAGACUAGCCUGACGUGAGAGAUAAGCGUUUGCAAAUGUGAAGAUGGACAGUGAAGUCAUGUGGACGGAGCAGGUAGUUUGCUUUUAUUUUCUAUGUAUACGGCGUCUUGAGCAGCGAGUUCGUGCGGUGAGUGCCCUGCAUGCAAGCUGCUGCUGCGCCUUGCUCGUGUCCACGUUGUGCUGGAUGAGGGAGCAGAAACUGAGCCCCACCGAGAGCCAGAGGGAGGGGAGGUAAUGUGGAUGAGGUCGCUUAAUUACACACCCUUUUCCAACUGCCUACAGCUUUUGCUUUGGCUCAAAACCAGCUGAAAGGCCCAUGAGAGGGGUCAAGGGAGUGUAAAUCCUCAUGGAAAGGAGGUGGCAAAUUCUUGGGGUGAGCACUUUCAGCAUGCUGCAAAGGUAGCCACCGUUGAGCAGGCACUUGGCAGUGUCUGUGGAAGUGCAAAGCACUGAUUUUAUAUUAAUGAAAGUGUUGGCUGUCUGGAGAAAAUGAUGGUUGAGAAAAAAGCAGGGCUGAGGGCACAAUUUUAUUUUAAAUGGUGAACCCUAAUCUUAGCUUCAUCUCUUUUUUUUCUUUUAAUUAACCUGUAAGAUCCUACCUGCAAUUUUGAUUUUUAAUCACAUUUUCUCCUUCAAUGGAUAUUCCAAUAACAUCCCCACCAACUUGGGGAAAAUUGUCUGCAUUGGAGUUGUGUUUUGAAAUCUCUCCUCCAACAUACAUCUUCUGAUUUCCAUGGAGCACCAACCCUUUUCUACCUUGCCGUUUCUGGGUGCUAUUUCUCAUCCCUGCUUGGUUUACAAAUCACUUUCUGAAUUUAUUCCAUCUGUGACUACAUGCUAAUAACAGUGCUGCUUUCUGAUGACCUGCUGUAUCACCCUGCCUUCCCUCUCCCUUCCCCACCAGCUUCAUCCAUUCAUCAAUCACACAUAACUAUGUGACCUUUAAAGUGUUUCAGCUGAGCUGUAGGUCUGGGGAUUUAUUAUUCCACCUCUCCACAGCUGGUGUUGGAAAAAAAUGUUCAUUGUUAAGUGAUUGGUUGUUGAUGAGGCUUAUCUGUGACAACCCAUGUUGGCUAACAAAAUGGCUCUCCCAUGACAAAAAGGCACAGGGUCUUUUCCAUGCUGAAGCAUGGAUGGAUAAUCCAUCUGGUCCCACCCAGCUGCCCACACUCAGUAUUGGAAAACAUGCCUUUGCUUCCCAGUUGCUCUCUCAACUUGCUCAGCACUGCAAAGCCUAAACACCCAAAGGGGCAGGGUGCAUUUCUAAGAGACAAUAGAACCUACUGAGCUGAUGACAGGCAUGGGCACCUGGGCUCCCUGGUCUUUAACCAUCCCUGUCUGAUCCCGGCUGCUACUGACUCACUCCUUAAUCUUUGCCAAGUCAUUAGUGACUGGCACUGCUCACCUAUUUCCAAGAACUGUUGUGAGAAUGAUGUUUGAGCAAAGCAUUGGAGGUGGGUUACUAAAAAUGAAAUACUUUGUCUUAUAAGGGCAUUCAGUGUGGAGGCACUGGCUGGAGUAAAGGUAGUCCUAAUUGUCAGCAUCGGUGUCUGGUGAGGGGACAAGGAGGGGAGAGAAAAUAUUGGCAUGUUGAAUUUAAAGAGUCAAGUCUGCACUCUUAAUAAUGAAGCAUCUGAGGGAGGCUUUGCAGAGAUGUUGCUUUGAAUGCACAGUGUGUGUGCAGCCCCAUGAGGGGUGGCCAGGAUGUUUCCAAUCGUAAUCAGUUGCUUUCAAAUAUAUCAUGUGCUGAGGGCUUCAGCAGACACCCCUGGAGACUUGUGCAUGGGUAGAUGCAGAGGUUCCUGCCUGAUGCUCCCCAUCCCUCCAUCCCAUUCCUUGUAUUAGAUGGAAGCUUAAGUGCCUUGAGCACAGGACUGAGAUUUACCAAUUUUGCCACUUCCAAAUCUCUGAUCUUCCUUUGAAAAUUUCAGUUAUCAUUAUUACAGCCCUGACUGGUAAAGCAAGGUCUAAGGAUAAGUAUGGAUAUUUUGUGAGCUGACAUGUCAGCCCUUCCAUGAAUCUAGUCUCUUGCAUUACAACAUCCUUUGGAUUUAGGGUUUUAUUUAGAGUUGUGUCAGUGCCGGGGAGAAAGGGACUUUUUAAGAAGAUGUCUCUGUCAUAGCUGGUACCUUCCAACAUCCAAGGAAUAACCACCAACCCCCAACAGCAUCAAAUAAAGAAGAGGAGCUGUACCGGAAGAAGAAGCUCCCUAGUAUGAAUGUGAUGACAUGGCCAUGUUCAACACUAAGAACAGCGUCUUUUGCACAGUUGGAAAAUACUCUGAUGUUCAGACAUAGGCUUCAGCUCUCCCUGUUUCCAGCAGUAUCAUGGUAAGUUUGAUCCAAUUGGGGAUUUGACAGCCUGUUCCAUUUACCCUUAUUCACAUGAGCUUUCUGGGUUGGGAGCAAUUCCACUAAUGCUGCUGGGUCUAUUCACAAGCUCAGAGGUCUGUGAUGAGGGGUAACACAUCUCUGAGUACUUCAGGACUAGUGUUUUAUCAUGAACUAUGCAUUGCUUGUAAACAGGCUUAAUUUCUGUUGCAGGGUGCCUUGGAAACAGCUCCCUAAUCAUGACUGUCAUGUGGAAGAGUUGUGAGCCCAAGGACAAAAGAAAAUCCUGCUAAUGGAUUGAAGGCAUCUUUAUGCUUUCUAAAACGCCAGCUUUCCUUGCAGGGAGUCUGCUCCACGGAAAACAACAGCAAGGACCAGCCGCCAGAAAAAUAAUGGAUGAAGAGUAGUGACAGAUCUUGCAAUAUGACCCCUGAAAAAAACAUUGGUGCUACAGACCAAGAACCAAGUACCUUAGUGCAGGAUCAGCGCACAUGAAGUCAAGCACUUUCUUCUGAGUGGCGGUUGGAGAAAACGUAUAGUCUGCAUGAAAUCUCUAACGUCUGGCUGGUAUACAAUAAAGCUGAUGAUCAGAGCUGAA